GACGAACGCUGGCGGCGUGCUUAACACAUGCAAGUCGAACGGGAUUUAGUAAACAGCAGCCUCGGUGGAAGAUUACUAAUGAGAGUGGCGAACGGGUGAGUAACGCGUGAGCAACCUGCCUAUGACAGUGGGAUAGCCUCGGGAAACCGGGAUUAAUACCGCAUCAAAUCGUAGAAACACAUGUUUUAACGGUCAAAGAUUUAUCGGUCAUAGAUGGGCUCGCGUCUGAUUAGCUAGUUGGUGAGAUAACAGCCCACCAAGGCGACGAUCAGUAGCCGGUCUGAGAGGAUGAACGGCCACAUUGGAACUGAGACACGGUCCAAACUCCUACGGGAGGCAGCAGUGGGGAAUAUUGCACAAUGGGGGAAACCCUGAUGCAGCGACGCCGCGUGAACGAAGAAGGUAUUCGUAUCGUAAAGUUCUGUCCUAUGGGAAGAUAAUGACAGUACCAUAGAAGAAAGCUCCGGCUAAAUACGUG
rnacentral:rRNA from 1 species